rnacentral:lncRNA from 1 species
AAGGGUUUCAAGGUUGUGAGUUAUUCUAGAUUGAAGAUCGAAGGCUCGAGGGAGUUGGCUUCUGUUAUGAAAUUCGGUUAGCAAUCGGUUUCGACGUGAUGAGAUGCAUCGAGAACGAAUGAGUUUCAAAUUGUCGCUAUAGUACCAUAGUAUGGUUUAACAAACGUGUAUGAAGAUUUAAACUUUCUGGAUUUUUCUUUUUGGGUGAAAAACACAAUGCAAUGGCGAACUGUAUGAAAAAAUGUGGAAACGAACAAUGCGAAUGUAUUAAAGUAUUAG